rnacentral:lncRNA from 1 species
CCCACCUGCCGCUUUUCUCAUUGUCUAUUUAGUUUUUAGUGUAGCUCGGCAUAUUACUUUUUGUUCCUGUGAAUAUUAAGUUCUCAGGAUGCUGAGGUGCCAUCGUCAUCCUGGUUUCUUUGCCUUGUAGAACCAUGUUUACUGAGCAAACCUUCACAUCCUGGUUCUUUUUAUUGCAGAACUACAAUUCAUAACAAUGCAGACAGAGUCUUAUUGCAGAAGGUGAUAGCACCCGAAGUCAUAAUUCAAGACUGGACUCUAUAGUUAGGGUUCAACAUCUUCUUAAAGACCUCAGACAGAGCUGAUGUAGUCAAGUGACCAUUACCCUUCAAAGCAGACCCUUGGCGGCUGAUGUGCUUUUCCAACAUUGCAGACAUUCGUUAAAGCACCUUUAGAAGCUCUUGACAAAGUCCUUCAGAGACCGUUUAAUAAACUACAAGACAAAAUCAGUAUCACUGCACCCUAUUCCCGGCUUACUUAUGACUCAAAAUAUUAUCCAGCUUGUUCACCCACCUUAUUCACGGGAUGUAGCUCCAAAGGGCUGUCUCCUAAAUCAAAUGCACUCUACAAAGACAUAGAUUGGCCAGCAUUGAUUUUUUUUUCUUUUUUCUUUUAAGAAGGUGAGGCAGCCUCUGAGAACAAAAGCAGAAGAGUUUGAAUUGGGUCAAGUGCACUAGCUCCUGGGUCACUACUGUGAAGCACUCAACUUUCACACCGAUGCUGACAGUCUGGUUUGUUUAAAAAAGAAGAGAAUGAGGAAAGCCAUCGCAGCUUCUUCUCACAGUUACGGUUUGCUCGUUGUCUUGAUAUGGAUCUUCAGUCUGGGUACAGACAUCACAGGGUAACUGCAACCCAGCACAUCUGCUCAGAGCAGGCGUUGCAAACAUUUCAGUUUUAAGGCCCAUGGGCGCUAACUUGACAUCUUUUCAAAUUAACAGGUCUCUUGCACAGUUCUGGAGGGAGCAGGUUGAAGCUUACAUACAAACGCAAGCUGAACCCUUGGAGAAAGUAGAAGUCUGGAUUCAGACAAAGCAAGAUUCAAAUCCCUGCUCUACUUAUUCCUAAGAAUGAGGCCCUGCUCAAGCGGUAGCGCGCUCGCCUGGCAUGCUUGCGGCCCGGGUUCCAUCCUCAGCACCACAUACAAACAAAGAUGCUGUGUCCGCCGAGAAAAAAAAAAAAACUAAAAAU